rnacentral:rRNA from 1 species
UGGGGAAUCUUGCACAAUGGGGGCAACCCUGAUGCAGCGACGCCGCGUGAGCGAUGAAGCCCUUCGGGGCGUAAAGCUCUUUCGACCGGAACGAUAAUGACGGUACCGGGAGAAGAAGCUGCGGCUAACUACGUGCCAGCAGCCGCGGUAAUACGUAGGCAGCAAGCGUUGUUCGGAGUUACUGGGCGUAAAGAGUGCGUAGGCGGUUUUCUAAGUUCGGUGUGAAAUCUCCCGGCUUAACUGGGAGGGUGCGCCGAAGACUGGGAAGCUGGAGUGUGGGAAAGGCAGGCGGAAUUCCUGGUGUAGCGGUGAAAUGCGUAGAUAUCAGGAGGAACACCGGUGGUGUAGACGGCUUGCUAGACCAUAACUGACGCUGAGGCACGAAAGCGUGGGUAGCAAACA